rnacentral:rRNA from 1 species
GAUGAACGCUAGCGGCAGGCUUAAUACAUGCAAGUCGAACGGUAAGGUCUCUUCGGAGAUACACGAGUGGCGCACGGGUGCGUAACGCGUAUGCAACCUACCUUUAACUGGGAAAUAGCCCCGAGAAAUCGGGAUUAAUGUCCCAUAUUAUUCUUUGAAUACCUAUUCGAGGAAUGAAAGCUCCGGCGGUUAUUGAUGGGCAUGCGUGACAUUAGCUAGUUGGUGAGGUAACGGCUCACCAAGGCAACGAUGGCUAGGGGUCCUGAGAGGGUUAACCCCCACACGGAUACUGAUGCACGGAGCGGACUCCUACGGGAGGCAGCAGUAAGGAAUAUUGGGCAAUGGACGCAAGUCUGACCAAGCCAUGCCGCGUGAAGGAUGAAUGUCCUAUGGAUUGUAAACUUCUUUUAUGCAGGAAAAAUAUCCCGGUCGUGAACCGGGACUGAUGGUACUGUAUGAAUAAGCAUCGGCUAACUCCGUGCCAGCCGCCGCCGUAA